AUUGAACGCUGGCGGAAUGCUUUACACAUGCAAGUCGAACGGCAGCACGGACUUCGGUCUGGUGGCGAGUGGCGAACGGGUGAGUAAUACAUCGGAACGUGCCCAGUCGUGGGGGAUAACGUAGCGAAAGCUACGCUAAUACCGCAUACGAUCUAAGGAUGAAAGCGGGGGAUCGUAAGACCUCGCGCGAUUGGAGCGGCCGAUGGCAGAUUAGGUAGUUGGUAGGGUAAAGGCCUACCAAGCCGACGAUCUGUAGCUGGUCUGAGAGGUUGAUCAGCCACACUGGGACUGAGACACGGCCCAGACUCCUACGGGAGGCAGCAGUGGGGAAUUUUGGACAAUGGGCGCAAGCCUGAUCCAGCCAUUCCGCGUGCAGGAUGAAGGCCUUCGGGUUGUAAACUGCUUUUGUACAGAACGAAAAGGCUCUGGUUAAUACCCGGGGCUCAUGACGGUACUGUAAGAAUAAGCACCGGCUAACUACGUGCCAGCCGCCGCGGUAA
rnacentral:rRNA from 1 species